UGUUCCUGCCCACAGUGGCUGUGACAAGAACCCUUCAAAAAGGUGGGAGGCCUCCCCACACCUGAUUCAUUACCCCACCAGGGGCUCGGCUUGGCUAGAGCUAUCAGUUGGAUUGCCAAAGGCUCCAGGUACCGCUAAUGCUUUACACUGGAUUCAAAUAUCCAGGGGAACCAAAGCAUCUGUGGAACAGUCGGCCAACGAGGGAAAGAAAAGGAUUGCUUAUUGGAGCACACUGGUUGAGGACAACCAUAUGUGGACUUUUCUAGAGCAAUGAAUAAUACCAAGUACGGAGAUAGAUGACUCUGAAGAGUAUUAUCAUCCUCUCUCAAGAAGAACCAAACUCCUGAAUUUCUCCCACCUUAGUGUUUGACAAGUUUCUCGGCGGACACAACAUCUUUGUUGGUAUGUGGUGCUGAGGAUCGAACCCAGGCCGCACGCAUGCCAGGCGAGCGUGGUACCGCUUGAGCCACAUCCCCAGCCCCAAGUGUAAGUAUUCCCCUUGCAACAAAUGUUAAGAACCUACUAUCUUCCAAUACCUCUUUCAGACACUGAAGAAAUAAUCUCAUGGUUGAAGAUACCCAUGUCUCAGUUUCUCCACUAUUUAAUGAUGUCAGGAGUAAGGCACACAGGUGACAUGGUGAGAACACCUGUAUCCUCUUGUGUAUGACAUUUGCUUCCAAUCUCCAGGAGGGAAAUCCUGAGAAUAGAUGGUCAAGAUCUCCAUCUCAUUUUUGUAAUUCUAACACAUCUGGUACUGUUAGUAUUUAACACUUCAUUUUCUUUUUGCUCAAGAUCCAUAUAAAACAUUCUUUUAUUUUUUUCUCUUCUGAUAUUACCAUAGAUAACAAUUUUGUGCUGGGAAUCAAAACCCAGGGCUUCACACAUGUUAGGCAAGUGCCUGGCUACUGAGCUAUAUUUCCAGUCCUUAAAGCAAAUUAUUUUACAGUGUCCUUUGCGGGAAUUUUUAUAAACCACUUCAUUAAAAUAAAUUUGGGGAAAUGUUCAGAGGAAGGUUACAAGCAUUGAGAAGGCAAUUCACUGUAGUACUUCUGUCAUUGACUAUGAUUACCUGUUUUGCUGUUGUUGUCUCUCCUUUAAGACACAAUUUCCUAGCAAGGGCUUUCAUUUUGCUCAGCAUUUUUAUUCUCAUGGUAGUUGUCAUUAAUUAAGUUGCAAUUAUUGAUGGAAGACAGCUAAGAAGCUCCCUGGAGAGCUCACUAGAAGGAUGUGGCCUUAGGUUCUCACCCUCCCUGCCCUGCCCAGAUAAACCUGUUUGCAUCCAUUUUCCACUUUCUCUCAAAUUCACCUGUUGGCCUUCCCUGGGAUUCCUCUCAAGUUAUCCUCGGCUGAGGAAAGUGCCGGAAUGCAAUAUCCAGCUUCCUGGGGAGCUGCAGGGAUGCCGAGGAGCACAUCAGAAGACCAAGGCCAGCUGAGAAGCAAGAGAAUGUUCACUGGGCGGGUAAAAACAAAUCGAGAAAAAAUUAAUUUUGCCUGAUGCAACAAGGGAAAGAGACCCCCCCAUGCCCACCCCAUCCCUGCCUUAUCUUACGGCAUUUGCUUUGUCUUUUUUUUAAUAUAAUCAUUAACACAUAUAAAUUGUAUGAAUUAAAGGAUUCAUGACAUUUCCACACAGAGCUUUUACUUGAGGAAACUUAUCACUGCAAAUACUUUCUCUGCCCCUUUAAGAUGUAUGUAAAUCUCCUCUAAAAAGCUUUGGCUGUUUUCACAGACCAGAAAUGUCUUUCUCAAGGACUUGAGAGCCAACUCUUAGAAAUAGAACCAUCAAGAAAGACAGCGACCUUAUCUCUCAGUUUUGUGGGAGGGUAGGAGCCUAAUUUGGCUGGUGCCUGGCUCCAAGUUGCAGAACUACCUCUUGCCAUAAAGAUAAGUUUUCUUUUUCCUUGGGAUUAAGGCGAUGAGCUAACACAGAAGGCCAGCCCAAUUACCAAGUGAAUUUAGGAUAAACUGUGUAUGACAAAUGGUGUCGUCAAGUCCUCUUACUGGAGGACACACACACAAGGGGCUGUAUCCGCCUGGACGUGUACAAGGGCAGGACCUCUCUCACUUUCAGGCUUAGUGUUAUUCAAUAACAAAACCAUUUCUUUCUCUUUUCCCUUUGUGGAGAAGGUUCCAGAGUUGGCAGGAGUUCUUUGUGUUUUGUUUUUUUCCCAGUGUCAGGAAUUGAACCCAGGGUCUUGCAUAUAAUAAGCACUCACUCUACUACUGAGCUACAACUGCCAACCCUAGAGAUUUUGUUUUUAAUUAAAUUUCCCCAACAUCUUCAGGACCUUGGAAAAGAGGACAUAAGUGCAUCACUUACUCCUCAGAGGCAGAGCUAGCUGUCCAAAGAUCAAGCUUAAACAUCCCAGGACAGGGGAUGGUUUGAGGUCCACAGUGAUGCUGGGAGUAUAAAGUAGGCCAGGGACACAGUUCCUUAAGUUCAAGGGUGAGUGUGUGUGGAGGGGGCAGGGUGAGAAUGGAGACUGCCAAUAGCAUCAGUGAGGUCUACUGAAGGAGGCUUAUGAAAAAGCAGGAUCAGGACUCAGGCUUGAGGGACCAUGGGCAGCCUGCUUUACUACCCAUGUCUUCCCAUGUCCAGAGGUCAUGGGUCAUUCUUGUUCAAAUGCAAAUUUGACUUCCGUGGUCCAGCCUAUGGCCUGAGAGUGUUUAUUUCCAAGGAGCUCCCAUGUGGUUCUGAUGCUCUGUAUCUUGGGAACACAUUCUGAGUAGCAAAGAGUUACGGAGAAAAAUGAAGCAGGAGAUAGACCCACACUGGGCACAGGAGGAGCCAGCUGGAAGCCAGAGGAGAAAGUCACAUAGCCCUCAGGGCAAUCAGAAGUCACUGCCUUGUUCUCCAAGAGGACCCCUAAUUAUUGUUAGGAAUAUUCCCUGUUCAGACCCUGGACAGAUAAUACAAAUUCUGGAUUAUACAGGAAUCUGCCAUCUUCUAAUGGUACACAGCCUAAUUUUGACUAAUUUUCCUGAAAGUUAGGCUUCUGACUAAGUAGGACCAGAUAAAAUAGAGGCUACGGGGCCAUUUCCAUAGGAUAUAAAUUGACCCAAACUCAUUGGCAAAGUAUAAGAGGGAGAUAAGUUUAUCGGCCAGAGCCCUUCUCAGACCAAGCCCUGUAUGUCUUUGGAGAACACUUGAAUAAGCCACUUGUAGUUUAGGGAUGAGAUUCCAAAGACAGAGUUAGGGUUAAAAUAAAGUGCUUCCAAGGAGGGCAGUUUUCAUUACCAAUUGUAGGCCUUCCGUUUUACUGAAUGUGUGUACAGAUAUGCUUCCACAGCUAGACUAGAAAAGAGGCUGAACUUUGCCACCAGCCCCCAUAAACACUGCAUUUGAUGUUAAAGGAAAAUAGAGCUUUGAAGAGGUGUAAAAUUAUUGCUAGUCUGAUGCACCUGCCUAUUUAGGUCUGACCUUGCCAGAAAGUUCUUAUACCUACAAGGUCUCUUCCGAUACACCAGCAUUUACCUGGAUCCCUUUCCAACCUGCCUUUCUUCUGAGCUUCAGUUUAGAAUUCUUUCCUGACCAAAAAUUAAAACUAGGUACUUAGCUGGGGCUCACUAGUCCUCUGUGAUGGGAAUAUUCGUGACUAAAUGGGGUUUUCUCCCCCUACCCAGACCUUUGAAAAAUUACUGAUACAGUCAUGCAAUGCAUAACAAUGUUUUAAUCAAUGACAGACUGCAUAUAUAUAGUACAGUGGUCCCAUAAGUGAUGGUAGUAGUGGUAGUGGUGUUAGUUUGUGUAAAUACACUGUAUGAUGUUCACAAAAUGACAAUAUUACCUAAAGACACAUUCCUUAAGAUGCGUCCAUAUUAUUCGGUGAUGUGUGAUUAUGUAUGUAUAAAGUACUUAGAAUAGAGCCUAAGAUAUAGCGGGUAAUAUUUAACUUUCGAUAAAAGAGUAAAUAGAGAAUUUGAGAGGAUUUCAACAGUAGCAAGAAAAGUCUGGGUUUAUGUUGCAGACCUAACUGAUAAACUGAAGGACCCAAAGCCUCUUCUGGUGAUAACACAGUGCUGAGUGGCAACUCAAGACAAAACUGGGGAGGCAGAGAGAAAAAAAAAAAAACGAGUAAGGAGAAGGUGGGAGAGUGAA